UGGCGAACGGGUGAGUAACACGUGGGUAAUCUGCCCUGCACUCUGGGAUAAGCCUGGGAAACUUGGUCUAAUACUGGAUAUGACCUUUCUCCUUAUGGGGUUUGGUGGAAAGUUUUUCGGUGUAGGAUGAGCCCGCGGCCUAUCAGCUUGUUGGUGGGGUGAUGGCCUACCAAGGCGACGACGGGUAGCCGGCCUGAGAGGUUGAUCGGCCACAUUGGGACUGAUAUACGGCCCAG
rnacentral:rRNA from 1 species